rnacentral:rRNA from 1 species
UACGUAGGGCGCAAGCGUUAUCCGGAAUUAUUGGGCGUAAAGAGCUCGUAGGCGGUUUGUCGCGUCUGCCGUGAAGUCCGGGCUCAACUCCGGAUCUGCGGUGGGUACGGGCAGACUAGAGUGAUGUAGGGGGAGACUGGAAUUCCUGGUGUAGCGGUGAAAUGCGCAGAUAUCAGGAGGAACACCGAUGGCGAAGGCAGGUCUCUGGGCAUUAACUGACGCUGAGGAGCGAAAGCAUGGGGAGCGAACAGG